CGAACUGAUGUUUCUUGCUACUACUAAGGUGUUAGUCUUGCUUAAGGCUUGGUCACGUACUGGCUGUUGUCUUUGUACAAAAUGAGUUCUACUGCACUGGUUUUCUAAAUUUUAGUCUUAUCUCUCAGCGUGCAUUAAAAUAAGUAAAAUGACAUGUGAGAGUAUUGGGAGAAUCGAAUCAACUCGCAUAACGCACUCAACGUUAUACAAUACUGAAACUUAACUGAUUAUAAAACUUUUCCUCUAAUUGAAUCUACAAUCCUAAAAGAAAUGCAAAAAUAAUUACUAGGAAAAAUAAAAUAAGGAAAGGAAAAAUGCCACAAACUUACCAAUAAGUUGAUCUCCACUUCUUAGCUCAAUAAGAUUCCUGAAGACUCUUGCUCAUCGAAGAACUUGAAGAAACUAAAAAUUAACAAAAAGCUAAUGGAAAAAGAGUCUAAACUUUCAAGAAUUUCUCUCAAAUUAAUUUUAAUUGGGGUAUUUACAACCUAGGAGUAAAG
rnacentral:lncRNA from 1 species